rnacentral:rRNA from 1 species
CAGUAGCCACGGGAAUACGAAGGGGGCUAGCGUUGCUCGGAAUGACUGGGCGUAAAGGGCGCGUAGGCGGCGGCCAAAGUCAGGCGUGAAAUUCCUGGGCUCAACCUGGGGGCUGCGCUUGAUACUUGGUUGCUUGAGUGGGGAAGAGGGUCGUGGAAUUCCCGGUGUAGCGGUGAAAUGCGUAGAUAUCGGAAGGAACACCUGUGGCGAAGGCGACUCUCUGGUCUGUAACUGACGCUGAGGAGCGAAAGCGUGGGGAGCGAACAGGAUUAGAUACCCCCGUAGUCCCUGUCUCUUAUAC